rnacentral:rRNA from 1 species
AUUGAACGCUGGCGGCAGGCUUAACACAUGCAAGUCGAACGAGUGGCGGACGGGUGAGUAAUGCUUGGGAAUCUAGCUUAUGGAGGGGGAUAAAUACGGGAAACUGUAGCUAAUACCGCGUACCAUAGGAUGAGCCCAAGUGGGAUUAGGUAGUUGGUGAGGUAAAGGCUCACCAAGCCGACGAUCGCUAGCUGGUCUGAGAGGCAGACCAGCCACACUGGGACGGAGACACGGCCCAGACUCAUACGGGAGGCAGAAGGGGGGAAUAGUGCGCAAUGGGGGCAACCUGCCGAAGCCAGGCCGCGUGAAGGAAGAAGGCCUUCGGGUUGUAAAGUUCUUUCGGUAGCGAGGCGUUAACGACAGAAGAAGCACCGGCUAACUCCGUGCCAGCAGCCGCGGUAAUUC